rnacentral:SRP_RNA from 1 species
GCUGGGCGUGGUGGCGUGUGCAUGUAGUCUCAGCUACUUGGGAGGCUGAGGCUAGAAGAUCGCUUGAGUCCAGAAGUUCUGGGCUGUAGUGCGCUAUGCUGAUUGGGUGUCUUGCACUAAGUUCAGCAUCAAUAUGGUGACCUCCCGGGAGUGGGGGGACCACCAGGUUGCCUAAGGAGGGGUGAACUGGCCCAGGUCUGAAAUGGAGCAGGUCAAAACUCCCGUGCUGAUCAUUAGUGGGAUUGAUUGCACCUGUGAAUAGCCACUGCACUCUAGCCUGGGCAACAUAGCAAGACCCUGUCUCU